rnacentral:rRNA from 1 species
GACGAACGCUGGCGGCGUGCUUAACACAUGCAAGUCGAACGGAAAGGCCCUGCUUUUGUGGGGUGCUCGAGUGGCGAACGGGUGAGUAACACGUGAGUAACCUGCCCUUGACUUUGGGAUAACUUCAGGAAACUGGGGCUAAUACCGGAUAGGAGCUCCUGCUGCAUGGUGGGGGUUGGAAAGUUUCGGCGGUUGGGGAUGGACUCGCGGCUUAUCAGCUUGUUGGUGGGGUGGUGGCUUACCAAGGCUUUGACGGGUAGACGGCCUGGGAGGGUGACCGGCCACAUUGGGACUGAGAUACGGCCCAGACUCCUACGGGAGGCAGCAGUGGGGAAUAUUGCACAAUGGGCGGAAGCCUGAUGCAGCAACGCCGCGUGCGGGAUGACGGCCUGCGGGUUGUAAACCGCUUUCGCCUGUGACGAAGCGUGAGUGACGGUAAUGGGUAAAGAAGCACCGGCUAACUACGUG